ACCAUCAAGAUUUCUGCGGCGUCCAGACUCCAUCGACGUGUCUCCUUCCCCCGCCAUCUCCUCUGUCUGUCUGUCUGGUCAGUGGUCAGUGGUCUGUGGUCGACAUUCUUCGCCACUCCCUCGCCUCUCCUUCGUUCCUUCCUUCCCUUCUUCUUCUUCUUCUUCUUCUUCUUCUACUUGGGUGCUGCUCUGCUUGUUUGUAUAGACAAAGCAAAGAGCUUUAACUCCCAGCUGUCACUGCCAAAUUCCUCCUCCUCCUCCUUCCCGCCAUGACUGCCACUAGCAGCAGUACUACCACCUUCAUCUACAAGUCUGAGCUCCUCGGCAUCCUCCCCCUCCCCAAAUCGCGGGGCGGCCCCGUAAUCUCGAACUACAGCUUCCUCUCCACCAGCAGAGGCGGCACCAUCACCACCCGCCGGCUUGUCCCCAGGGCUUCCUCCGAAGGCGGCGAUGAUGAUUUUGCCAAGGGGAAGGAUCCUUCCGGGGGAUCCAUGAUCAGCCUGGAGGACGUCAACCCUGUGGGACUCGGCCGCCGGUCGAGACAAAUGUUCGACGAGGUCUGGCGGAAGUUCUCCGGCCUCGGGCAGAUCUCCAGGACUACCCGGACCGACGACGAGGAGGCCCUCGACCUCCUCGGACUCCGGGAGGGCGGCCCCAUGUGCGAGUUCGCCAUCCCAGGGGCGCAGAACACCACCGUCCUUGUCGUCGGAGCCACCAGCAGGAUCGGCCGCAUUGUGGUCCGCAAGCUCAUGCUCCGGGGCUACACCGUCAAGGCCCUGGUGAGGAAGGUCGAUUCCCAGGUGGUGGACAUGCUCCCGAGGUCGGUCAAGAUCGUGACCGGCGACGUCGGGGAUCCUUUCACCCUCAAGGCCGCCGUGGAAGGCUGCAACAAGGUCAUCUACUGUGCCACCGCUCGGUCCCCCAUCACCGCUGACCUCUACCGGGUCGAUCAUCGUGGGGUUUACAACCUGUCCAAAGCAUUGCAGGACUACAAUAACAAGCUUGCGCAGCUCCGGGCAGGAAAGAGCAGCAAGAGCAAGCUUCAGAUCGCGAAGUUCAAGUCGCCGGAUUCCCUGAACGGCUGGGAGGUCCGUCAAGGCACCUACUUUCAGGAUGCUGUUGCUGCAAAGUACGAUGCCGGGAUGGAUGGAAAAUUCGAAUUCACAGAGACAGGGGAAGCUGUUUUCUCAGGUUAUGUCUUCACCAGAGGAGGUUAUGUUGAGUUGUCGAAGAAGCUGUCGCUUCCUAUUGAUCGCACUCUUGAUAGGUAUGAAGGUCUCGUCCUCUCAGUUGGAGGGAACGGUAGAUCUUAUGUCUUAAUUCUCGAAGCUGGUCCAUCGGCGGACACUACUCAAAGCAAACUGUAUUUUGCUAGAAUCAGUACGAAAAUCGGUUUUUGUAGGGUAAGAGUGCCAUUCUCAUCUUUCCGCCCGGUGAUGCCUGAUGAUCCUCCCCUAGACCCCUUCCUCGUGCAUACUUUAACUAUACGAUUUGAGCCUAGAAGACAGAGACCCAUAGAAGGAGCUCAAGGGUCAAAACAGCAGGACUUGAGAAGUUUCAAGUUCAUACUGGAAUUCAUAAAGGCCUUGCCAGCUGGGCAAGAAACGGACUUCGUCUUAGUUUCGUGUACAGGUCUUGGAAUCGAACCAUCCAGAAGAGAGCAGGUUCUGAAGGCCAAGAGGGCUGGAGAAGAUUCACUGAGGAGGUCCGGCCUUGGUUAUACAAUCAUUCGCCCUGGUCCCCUGAAGGAGGAACCGGGAGGUCAGCGGGCGCUCAUAUUCGAUCAAGGGAACCGGAUAUCUCAGGGCAUCAGCUGUGCUGAUGUUGCCGAUAUAUGUGUAAAAGCACUGCAUGACUCCACUGCAAGAAACAAGAGUUUCGAUGUAUGCCAUGAGUACGUCUCUGAGCAAGGGAGAGAACUUUACGAACUGGUAGCACAUUUGCCAGAUAAAGCGAAUAACUACUUGACACCGGCAUUAUCUGUGCUUGAGAAAAAUACCUGACAUUGUUUAAGCCUCGUCAUCACCGUCACAGGUUCCCCAAGUACAGCGUGGAGUCCAUGUUUUCCUCUCAUGUUCCUCUGCCUAGAGCUCCCGGGAAUUCUGCGGUUCUCUUUCUUAACCCCUUUCUUAUAUGUGAAUGCUUGUAUAGGAUGCGAAAGAGUGUCUGUUAUAUCUAAAUCUACGAGUAUAGUUGUAAGUGGACAGGUGAACUACAAUCAAAGGCAUAGAGAAGAAACCUUCACUGUCAGUACUGUGAGUGUGGUCUAACUGGAAAUGUAUGAUCCCUGAUGAAAGAGUACAGUUGCUGGGAUGAGCAUAUGGAGACAUGGUCCAUACAUCGAGCAGUUAACUUGCCGCACAAAUACGGGAUGAGCUGAAUAUGCAAGUUAUUAGCAAAGGUUCAAUACAUACUAUUCAAUUACCUCAAACAAGAGAGACUAGAAGAGAAACGACAGAACUGUGAGGCAAAUCGGUCGUACAAUGCGCAGAUGGCGGAAUAUGAAGUAUUAUCAUGAAGGACUUUGCGAGGAUCCAAAACAUCAAAUUUGCUAUUUCUGCUUUCCCAAGUCGAAAGCUUAUGAUUUCAAUUUCCGACAUCUCACUGAAUGGACUUACACCACCUCGUCUAAAUACUAUUACUGAGAACUUCUCUGGCCC